rnacentral:misc_RNA from 1 species
AGCGUUCAAUCUCUGUCUCUUUCUUCUUCCUGUUCUUCUUUUUCAUCUUCUCCCACGUAAGAAGUUAAAAACUUUGUGGAGAGAGGAAGAGUGAGAGAGAGUGAGAAGAGUGAGAGAAUAUCUAUAUAGCUGACAUAUUGCAGGUUCUAUACGCAUUUGUUUGACUAGAGAGAGAGAGCGUGUGAAGGAGAAGAGAGAGAAAAGAAAAUGAGGGAGGUUAUUAGCAUGCACAUAGGACAAGCAGGUAUUCAGGUUGGGAAUUCAUGCUGGGAGCUCUACUGCUUUGAACAUGGAAUUCAGCCUGAUGGAAUGAUGCCCAGUGACACCUCAGUAGGCGUUGAACAUGAUUCCUUCAAUACCUUCUUCAGUGAGACUGGUUCUGGAAAGCAUGUGCCAAGAGCUCUAUUUGUUGAUCUGGAACCCACUGUUAUUGAUGAAGUUAGAACUGGGACUUAUAGACAACUUUUUCACCCUGAGCAACUAAUUUCUGGCAAGGAAGAUGCUGCUAAUAACUUUGCUAGAGGACAUUAUACAGUGGGAAGGGAAAUUGUGGAUCUAUGCCUUGACCGAGUGAGGAAGUUGGCCGACAAUUGCACUGGUUUGCAAGGAUUUUUGGUAUU